rnacentral:rRNA from 1 species
AGCGAACGCUGGCGGCAGGCUUAACACAUGCAAGUCGAGCGCCCCGCAAGGGGAGCGGCAGACGGGAGAGUAACACGUGGGAACGUACCUUUCAGUACGGAACAACCAAGGGAAACUUUGGCUAAUACCGUAUACGUCCGUAAGGAGAGAGAUUUAUCGCUGAAAGAUCGGCCCGCGUCUGAUUAGCUUGUUGGUGGGGUAAUGGCCCACCAAGGCUACGAUCAGUAGCUGGUCUGAGAGGAUGAUCAGCCUCAUUGGGACUGAGACACGGCCCAAACUCCUACGGGAGGCAGCAGUGGGGAAUAUUGGACAAUGGGCGCAAGCCUGAUCCAGCCAUGCCGCGUGGAUGAUGAAGGCCUUAGGGUUGUAAAGUCCUUUUAACGGGGAAGAUAAUGACGGUACCCGUAGAAUAAGCCCCGGCUAACUUCGUGCCAGCAGCCGCGGUAAGAC